rnacentral:rRNA from 1 species
UGGGAAUUUUGGACAAUGGACGCAAGUCUGAUCCAGCCAUGCCGCGUGCGGGAAGAAGGCCUUCGGGUUGUAAACCGCUUUUGUCAGGGAAGAAACGAGUUUCUCUAAUACAGAGACUUAAUGACGGUACCUGAAGAAUAAGCACCGGCUAACUACGUGCCAGCAGCCGCGGUAAUACGUAGGGUGCAAGCGUUAAUCGGAAUUACUGGGCGUAAAGCGUGCACAGGCGGUUAUGCAAGACAGAGGUGAAAUCCCCGGGCUCAACCUGGGAACUGCCUUUGUGACUGCAUAGCUAGAGUACGGUAGAGGGGGAUGGAAUUCCGCGUGUAGCAGUGAAAUGCGUAGAUAUGCGGAGGAACACCGAUGGCGAAGGCAAUCCCCUGGACCUGUACUGACGCUCAUGCACGAAAGCGUGGGGAGCAAACA